rnacentral:rRNA from 1 species
GACGAACGCUGGCGGCGUGCUUAACACAUGCAAGUCGAACGGAAAGGCCCUGCUUUUGUGGGGUGCUCGAGUGGCGCGCGGGUGAGUAACACGUGAGUAACCUGCCCUUGACUUUGGGAUAACUUCAGGAAACUGGGGCUCAUACCGGAUAGGAGCUCCUGCUGCAUGGGGGGGGUUGGAAAGUUUCGGCGGUUGGGGCUGGACUCGCGGCUUAUCAGUUUGUUGGUGGGGUAGUGGCUUACCAAGGCUUUGACGGGUAGCCGGCCUGAGAGGGUGACCGGCCACAUUGGGACUGAGAUACGGCCCAGACUCCUACGGGAGGCAGCAGUGGAGAAUAUUGCACAAUGGGCGGAAGCCUGAUGCAGCAACGCCGCGUGCGGGAUGACGGCCUUCGGGUUGUAAACCGCUUUCGCCUGUGACGAAGCGUGAGUGACGGUAAUGGGUAAGGAAGCACCGGCUAACUACGUG